rnacentral:lncRNA from 1 species
CAGGGGGGCGGUGGUCCUGACCUAUCACGCCGGGGAGGCGCCGUGCACCCAAUCGGAGGCCAAUAUAGGUAGCGGCGCAGCCAUUCAGCGUGCAGGCCGUGGGGGCUGGCCCGAGCGGCGAAUCAGAGAGCGGGGCCCCUGGGAGCCAACGAGCCGCCCCAGCUGGCGCCCAAUCUGGGGCGAGCGCAGGUAGGCAUCUGGCCAAUCAGAGAAGGGGAGGGUUCCAGCACCGAACAGGGAGCAUAACAGCCAAUCAGAAGGUGAGGCUGCCUCAGCUUGUGGGCAGGGCGGGCCAAUCAGGCGCUGGCUUUGGGGGCGUGUUGAACUUUGGUGGGAGCUUUGGUUCGGCUGGGACCUGCGCCCUGAAUGAAGGCUUCCCUGGUACCCCCUGCCGAUCCGCGGUCUUGGGGACCUGCGCGUCCGAUAGCGCGUGCUCGAAGAGGAGAGGCAACCUCAGCUCCAGGGGGUUUGAACCGACCCACUUUCAGUUACGAGUAAACUGAGACCAGAGAGCAGAGGGGGCUUAUUUCCCUCUGCCCCAUACUGGCCGGCGAAAGGGCAAGUCACACAGAGCAGGCGACCUUUUUGUCAAAAGUGUGUGGGGCGGGGCGCGCAGUAGGCGCCCUAAACGCUGGACUGAACAGAGAAGCUUAAUUGAUACUUAAGAGUGGAAGCUUAGCUACAGUUAAGGACUCCUUCC